UUUUAUGGUGGCUGUACGAGGGGCACCUUCGGGUGCGCCGGGUGCCUGACUUCCCGGUCGACUAACCCGCGUACAGCCGCCACCUAU
rnacentral:antisense_RNA from 3 species